CCUACGGGAGGCAGCAGUGAGGAAUAUUGGUCAAUGGGCGUAAGCCUGAACCAGCCAAGUCGCGUGAGGGAUGAAGGUUCUAUGGAUUGUAAACCUCUUUUAUCAGGGAAUAAAGUGCGGGACGUGUCCCGUUUUGUAUGUACCUUAUGAAUAAGGAUCGGCUAACUCCGUGCCAGCAGCCGCGGUAAUACGGAGGAUCCGAGCGUUAUCCGGAUUUAUUGGGUUUAAAGGGUGCGUAGGCGGCCUUUUAAGUCAGCGGUGAAAGUCUGUGGCUCAACCAUAGAAUUGCCGUUGAAACUGGGAGGCUUGAGUGUGUUUGAGGCAGGCGGAAUGCGUGGUGUAGCGGUGAAAUGCUUAGAUAGCACGCAGAACCCCGAUUGCGAAGGCAGCCUGCCAAGCCAUGACUGACGCUGAUGCACGAAAGCGUGGGGAUCAAACAGGAUUAGAUACCCCAGUAGUC
rnacentral:rRNA from 1 species